rnacentral:rRNA from 1 species
GAUGAACGCUGGCGGCGUGCCUAAUACAUGCAAGUCGAGCGAACAGACGAGGAGCUUGCUCCUCUGACGUUAGCGGCGGACGGGUGAGUAACACGUGGAUAACCUACCUAUAAGACUGGGAUAACUUCGGGAAACCGGAGCUAAUACCGGAUAAUAUAUUGAACCGCAUGGUUCAAUAGUGAAAGACGGUUUUGCUGUCACCUAUAGAUGGAUCCGCGCCGCAUUAGCUAGUUGGUAAGGUAACGGCUUACCAAGGCAACGAUGCGUAGCCGACCUGAGAGGGUGAUCGGCCACACUGGAACUGAGACACGGUCCAGACUCCUACGGGAGGCAGCAGUAGGGAAUCUUCCGCAAUGGGCGAAAGCCUGACGGAGCAACGCCGCGUGAGUGAUGAAGGUCUUCGGAUCUUAAAACUCUGUUAUUAGGGAAGAACAAAUGUGUAAGUAACUAUGCACGUCUUGACGGUACCUAAUCAGAAAGCCACGGCUAACUACGUG